UAUAUAGUGUCGAUAAUACAUAAUGGAGAGAGAAGAACAGACGUCAUACCGCCGGAGCAAAGUUUGGGGGGGGGGCAUUAAAAGGGGGGGGGGGGGGGUCGGCGUGCGGGAGGGGGGAUAUUAUAGGGUGGUUAAAAAGGGGGGGGGGGGACACACGAAGGGAAUAUAUCGGGGCUGAGCGCGCCAGCAUCAGCGAUGGAGCGUAUUAAACACCAAUGGGGGGGGGUGAAGGGGGUGUGGGGUGGGGGUCAUGUCCAAUGGGGGUCUCCAAUGGGGAUAUUCUUAAGGGGAGAUUCAAAUGGGGUGGGGGACAACCCCAAUGGGGUGGGGGUACCCCCAGUGGGGCUUACAAAUGGGGUGGGGGCACCUCAAUGGGGUGGGGACACCCCCCAAUGGGGUGGGGACACCGGCGUGGGGUGGGGGCACCCCUCAAUGGGGCCUACAAUGGGGUGAGGGCACCCUCAAUGGGUUGGGGGCACCCUCAAUGGGGUGGGGACACCCCCAAUGGGGACCUACAAUGGGGUGAGGGCACCCUCAAUGGGGUGGGGACACCCUCAGUGGGGCCAACAAUGGGGUGGGGUCACCCCAAAUGGGUUGAGGGCCCUCUAAGGUGACACUAUGGGGAUGUUCUCAAUGUGGGGUGGAGAUGGGACAUGGCCAUUGUCCCCAUAAGAGACAACCCCCAUAUGAAGUCCCCCCCCCCCCAAUGAAAUCCCAUAGGACGAUGUGGGGCUUGGGGACGCCUUUAUGGCCAUCGCUAUAGGGAUGGAGAUGGAGCUUGGGGCCCCAUUGGGGACCUUAGAAGUGAUGGGGACAUUGGGGACGUGGUAAGGGCACCUCCAACGCACCGCGGUGAUAAAGGCGACCCAAAAUGGAGGCUAGAAACCCAAAAUGGCCCAAAAAGGCUCAAAAAUAGGCAUAAAAACCCAAUGGAAGGCCAAAGAAUGACCAUAAAACCCAAUGAAAGGCCAAAGAAUGACCAUAAAACCCAAUGGGAGCCCAAAGAACCACCAUAAAACCCAAUGGGUGCCCAAAGAACGACCAUAAAACUCAAUGGGGGCACAAAGAACCACCAUAAAACUCAAUGAAUCCUUGUAGAACCACCAUAAAACCCAAUGGGAGCCCGAAGAACCACCAUAAAACUUGAUGAAUCUUCAAAGAACCACCAUAAAACUCAAUGAAUCCAUUAAGAACCACCAUAAAACUCAAUGGGAGCCCAAAGAACCACAAUAAAACUCAACGAAAGGCCA
rnacentral:lncRNA from 1 species